rnacentral:rRNA from 1 species
UACGGAGGGUGCGAGCGUUGUCCGGAAUCACUGGGCGUAAGGGCGCGUAGGCGGCCUGAUAAGUAGGGGUGAAUCCUGCGGCUUAACCGCAGGGCUGCCUUCUAAACUGUCAGGCUGGAGCACAGUAGAGGCAGGUGGAAUUCCCGGUGUAGCGGUGGAAUGCGUAGAGAUCGGGAAGAACAUCAGUGGCGAAGGCGGCCUGCUGGGCUGUUGC